rnacentral:tmRNA from 1 species
GGACCCGAUUCGGCGAGAGAGGUGCCUCACGGCACGAAAUAUUCCGGCUAAGCUUGUAGAUGCCGCUCUGGCAAGAUCUUCGGACGUGGGUUCGACUCCCACCGCCUCCACCA